CCAGGAGAAGCGGGAAGGUAGGGGCCCUGGGGAUAUAGGUCGCGGCUCCGGUGAGGCGCGGGGGAGGCAGGGGCGUGGCGCCACCGGCGACGACCGACGCAGGACGCGGGAGGAGGGGAGGUAGGCGCGCGCGGGGGUUUCUCUCCGCCCCGGCCCUGGUGCGGCGGCGCUGGGCUCCCGUUGUAUCCAGAAGGAGGAGAGGAGAGAGUGGAGAUAAGAGAUGUGGCUGACAGGUGGGACCCCAAUCCACCUCAGCAGGUCAAACAUUGACUAGGACUAGUCUUUGCCACAUCAGCCAGGACAGACGGGUCCCACCCGUCAGUUUUUUUUGUUAGACACACUUAAUUUCGAAUCAGUGCGAUUCGUUACUCACUUGCCACAGAGUUGGUGGUUUUUUGUGAUUUUUGAUAAAAACGGUAGUUUCGGAGUACCCUAGCCAUAAAUCUGGUGGUUUUGAGCAAUUAACUCCCGGUGGCUAGAGAAUGUGAGACAUUCGCCGGACAGGGCGAUUUGGUGCCCGGGCUUAGACGCUCCCGAAAUCUCUGCCGCUGGUUGCUGCAUCGGGAUGGUAAAAAAUAGGCCUGACGAGCAGGGCCGAAGAAUACUAAGGAUACUCGUGGUAUACGGCCCGCAACAGUGCGCAAGAGUGGGCCAUCUUCGUAGCGUCGGGGUCUCUCCGUCACAGGGGGCGUUCACGAGCCGUCGACCAGAACGCGUGGAGUCAUCUGAGCUGUGGUCCACGACGGUAGUCCAGGUCGUUCCGGAAACCUGAGCCAUGGCGACACGAGAACCCUGGGUCCCGUGCUUUCUGCGGCGGCGCGGCAAUGUCGGCCGACGGGCUGGAGUUCCGACGGAUCCCGUUGACCGGUGAGUUUUCCUUUCCCGGUGUUCGUCUUUCGAUUGCUUGUUUGCCUUGGGGGCCCGGAUUUUCGGUCCACGAUUUUGGUGACCGCCCACAGCUCACCACCACCGCCGGUGAGCGGUGACUAUGCUUCGACUCGCACGUUUCCUCCUAGGGAGGAGCUUGCGGACAUCCUGGAACAUCAAGAUCCGGUCUCCCCCAAGCUGCUGCCGCCCCGUGAUGCAAUCCGGCUAUGCCGGCUGAUUCCAAUGUUGGGUCAGGCUGCGCGUGGCAUGAAGGUAACCGCGGCCCCGUGAGGCCGGGAGGGGAAUUCCUGGCAAAAACAACGCUUCUACGACUUCUUCUGCACAAUCCAAUGGGAGGGAGAACCCCGAAGCACUGGGUGGACGAAAAGGUUGCGGCUGGGCAGUGCACCACCAGACAGAACUCUGGCUCGAGAAUGAGUGCUGUCGGCCUUCAGUUGUCGGUAUACUGACAUGAUGGUAAAUGCAGGUGUUGAUUGUGGUGGAACAGGGGCUCACGGUGGUACAGAAGUGCAGAAUUUCAUAGAGGGUCAUUUCCAGAGGAAGGGAGUAGACUAAGGCGAGUGGUGCUAGGAAUCCGACAGGUGAUCCGGCGGUGAAGAGUGAGUGGGGAGAGAAGUUCCCUCAUUCCAUCUGACUAAACCAUGACGAGCCGUCGCUUCGGGAUGUUCUUUGGUUCUACGACAACAUGCUGGGUUGUUCUGAGGAAACUUUCGAAGAAAUGGUUUAGGCACGUCAAUCCAUUUGCCGCGGUGAUGUUCGAGCAAGACCUGAAAGGAAGAACUAGGAGAGGAGUUUUCGAUCCGUGUUGUGUGGUAAGUGUCUCACUGUCUGUGAUCCACCAUUGGAACGUGAUAACAUACAUAGUGCUGUCUUUGACUGGUGUGCACUUCUUCGCAUAUGGUAAUUACCUCCAACCUUGGUCAAGUCAGAUGGCCAACUCAUGACGUACGGCCACUGGACUACCCACUGCCCUGCUGUUGCUGCCUACACUUUUGGGAAGUUAAUAUCUGUUGUCUUUUGAAUGAUCACGUAAAACUAUCUGAAGUGCACUUUCAAACGAAAUAAAAAACUUUUUUGUGAUACAUAUAUACUGCAUGGAGGAUACCAGGACAUGCAGCUUGCACAUUGCACGACAUUACGACAGCAUAAAACUGAAACUUCCCUUGAUGAAGUACAAUAUGAUGAACAAACUUAAGAGGCAAGCCCUCCACGAGUGUCUGAAGUUACAAGGAAACACCUCGACGUUGGCACGCGAGGCAUUGUGGGCAGUCCUAGCACCUGGUGACUCUUACUUCGUAUGAAACCCUCUUCUGCCUAAAAACAUGUCCUGGAAGCGAACUUCCUCUAGCAGAUUGUCCCAUGCGCCUUACCUAAUGUACCAUCUUAGGCAUUACUACGAUCUCCACUGACCAUCAUUUUAAGAUGUUGUAUCGAACAUUUGAGCCUAGUAUAUUGCUUUUUGCUCACUUCGUAGCUUGUUUUUUAGAUUCAUGCAAGGAACAAUCACUGUUUUACAAUCAUCCUUCAGUGUACUCUGUACGAAUGUUUGCGAUAGCCUAAACUCUUUGGCCACAUCGCCACAUUUGUUUGCUUCUCCUUGUAUUCAUCUACUUGCUAUUUA